CUAGCUCAGUUUUAGUUCAGUUCCAGUUUAGUUCUAGUUCAGUUCUUGUUCUGUUCUAGUUCAAAUCUAGUUCAGAUAUAGAUCUAAUUGAGUUUUACCUUUAUUCAUAUUAUUUUUAUUAAUUCGUCUUUACUUCCUAAUUUUCCUGACGACUACCUCAUCAUAUUUAUGCUCAAAUCGCAGAACAUCAAAUCAAAACUAUUAUAAAGAUAUGAAAUUUUAUAACGUUAUAAAUUGUUUUCAAUUAUCGACCAAAAUUGAUUUUCUAAUCACUAUAAAAUAAAAUUAAGCAGUAAAGAUAAAUAAUAAUUCCUUAACACUAUUGAAAAAGUCAUAAAGAAAAAAAUAAUUUUAAGCUUUCUAAAGAACAUAAUCAGCCCAAUGCAUUUAAUAGUCAGCAAACAUGACAAGCAAGUGGACGUUAGCGGUGGUAGUGCUGUGGGCAAUUUUUAGUUCAAUACACGCAGAAAUAAGAACUAAAGGAUGGUGGGAGACGGCAUCAUUCUAUCAAAUCUAUCCACGUUCAUUUAAGGACUCUGAUGGUGAUGGUGUGGGAGAUUUAAAGGGUGUCACCAGUAAGUUGGCGUAUUUGAAGGAAAUAGGUAUAGCAGCUACUUGGCUUUCGCCAUUUCUUAAGUCUCCCAUGGCCGAUUUUGGUUAUGAUAUUUCUAAUUUUACUGAGGUGGAUCCAUUGUUUGGCACCAUGGAAGAUUUUGAAGAUUUAAUGAAAAAAUCCAAGGAACAGGGUGUGAGAAUAAUAUUGGAUUUUGUACCCAAUCAUUCGAGCGAUGAGUGUGAGUGGUUUAUAAAAUCGGCCAAUAGAGAUCCGGAGUAUAAAGACUAUUAUGUUUGGCAUCCGGGUAAAAUAGUAAAUGGUACCAGAACAGCACCCAAUAAUUGGGUUAGUGUAUUUAGAGGUUCAGCCUGGGAAUGGCAUGAAGGGCGUCAGGAGUAUUAUUUGCAUCAGUUCCACAAAAAGCAACCGGAUUUUAAUUUUCGCAAUCCUAAAGUUCGAGAUGCAAUGAAUAAUAUCUUGCGUUUUUGGUUGGAAAAAGGCAUUGAUGGUUUUCGCGUAGAUGCUAUAUAUCAUGCUUUUGAAAUAGCUCCCGAUGCUGAGGGUAAUUAUCCAGAUGAGCCACGCAAUGAUUGGACUAAUGAUCCAGAUGAUUAUGGUUAUGUUCAUCAUAUAUACACGGUGGAUCAACCAGAAACUCCCCAUUUGGUGUAUGAAUGGCGUCAGGUUUUGCAACAAUUCCAAAAGGAUAAUGGUGGCGAUGAAAGAAUCCUUAUGGUUGAAACCUGGUCUCCCAUAGAAAUAGUCAUGGAAUACUAUGGCAACGUAACAGCAGAGGGUGCUCAAAUCCCCUUCAACUUUCAAAUGAUCAGUUAUUUGUGGAAUGAUUCCGAUGCCUAUCAUUAUGCCAAUUUAAUUAAUGAAUGGCUGAGUAAAAUGCCUGCCGGUCGUACUGCCAAUUGGGUGGUGGGUAAUCAUGAUAAAAAUCGUGUGGGUUCUCGUUUUGGUGCCGAUCGCAUUGACAUGUUCAAUAUGUUGUUGCUAACAUUACCCGGCUGCAGUGUAACCUAUAAUGGUGAAGAGAUUGGCAUGACUGAUGUCUGGAUUUCUUGGCAGGAAACUGUAGAUCCUCAAGCCUGCAAUGGUGCAGAGGAUGGUUAUGAAACUCGUUCUCGUGAUCCAGCUCGUACACCCUUUCAGUGGAGCGACGAGUUGAAUGCUGGGUUUUCUUCGGGUAAUACCACAUGGUUGCCGGUGAGUCCUCAGUAUAAGAUGGAAAAUCUGAAACGUCAACGUGGUAUUUCUCUCAGUCAUUUGAAUAUUUUCAAACAAUUGCAAUUGUUGCGAGCGGAGAAUUCUUUGAGAGAUGUUCCCUUGCCGGUGAUUUCACUUUCAUAACCCUAAUGAACAUCUUCGAUACGGUUCAAACGGUUAAUUUAAAUGAACUUUUUAGCAACUUAUCUUCAGAAUUUGAAUACGUUGUGGUAACAGAUAAAUCUAUUAGAAGAAAAGGCGACAAAGUUUCCAGCAAUAGUGUUGUGCUAUUACCCAAAGAAGCAGUUGUUAUUAAAUCAACCCAAAAAGCAUAACAUAUUAUGGAAUAACAAAUUGUGCUGACUGUGAAAUAUUUCUAUGUUUUAUUUAUGAAAAAGAAAAUAAUAAUAAAACAAAAUGAAUAAAUGUUUUUUAUACUAAAUACAUGAAAUAAGUGAAGUUUUUGUAGUUUGUUGAAAAUCAGAUUACAAGAGAAGGAGGAGGAGUAA
rnacentral:misc_RNA from 1 species